CCUACGGGGCGCAGCAGUGAGGAAUAUUGGUCAAUGGGCGCGAGACUGAACCAGCCAAGUAGCGUGAAGGAUGACUGCCCUACGGGUUGUAAACUUCUUUUAUAAAGGAAUAAAGUGAGGCACGUGUGCCUUUUUGUAUGUACUUUAUGAAUAAGGAUCGGCUAACUCCGUGCCAGCAGCCGCGGUAAUACGGAGGAUCCGAGCGUUAUCCGGAUUUAUUGGGUUUAAAGGGAGCGUAGAUGGGUUGUUAAGUCAGUUGUGAAAGUUUGCGGCUCAACCGUAAAAUUGCAAUUGAUACUGGCAGUCUUGAGUACAGUUGAGGUAGGCGGAAUUCGUGGUGUAGCGGUGAAAUGCUUAGAUAUCACGAAGAACUCCGAUUGCGAAGGCAGCUUACUAAACUGCCACUGACAUUGAUGCUCGAAAGUGUGGGUAUCAAACAGGAUUAGAUACCCGGGUAGUC
rnacentral:rRNA from 1 species